AGAGUUUGAUCCUGGCUCAGGAUGAACGCUAGCUAUAGGCUUAACACAUGCAAGUCGAGGGGCAGCAUGUUGGUUGCUUGCAACCAAUGAUGGCGACCGGCGCACGGGUGAGUAACGCGUAUCCAACCUACCCUUGUCCAUCGGAUAACCCGUCGAAAGGCGGCCUAACACGAUAUGCGGUUCUCAGCAGGCAUCUAACGAGAACGAAAUGUGAAGGAGAAGGAUGGGGAUGCGUCUGAUUAGCUUGGUUGGCGGGGUAACGGCCACCAAGGCGACGAUCAGUAGGGGUUCUGAGAGGAAGGUCCCCCANUUGGAACUGAGACACGGUCCAAACUCCUACGGGAGGCA
rnacentral:rRNA from 1 species